AGCGAACGCUGGCGGCAGGCCUAACACAUGCAAGUCGAACGACCCUUUCGGGGUUAGUGGCGGACGGGUGAGUAACACGUGGGAACGUGCCUUUAGGCUCGGAAUAACACAGGGACACUUGUGCUAAUACCGAAUGUGCCCUUCGGGGGAAAGAUUUAUCGCCUUUAGAGCGGCCCGCGUCUGAUUAGCUAGUUGGUUGAGGUAAUGGCUCACCAAGGCGACGAUCAGUAGCUGGUCUGAGAGGAUGAUCAGCCACAUUGGGACUGAGACACGGCCCAAACUCCUACGGGAGGCAGCAGAGGGGAAUCUUGCGCAAUGGGCGAAAGCCUGACGCAGCCAUGCCGGGUGAAUGAUGAAGGUCUUAGGAUUGUAAAAUUCUUUCACCGGGGACGAUAAUGACGGUACCCGGAGAAGAAGCCCCGGCUAACUUCGUG
rnacentral:rRNA from 1 species